GCCUCUGUGGCUUAGUGGUUAGCGCCCUUGUUUUGGAAAUUUCGGGCUUGGGUUCGAUUCCGGUUGGGGUCA